GAACGGGUGAGUAACACGUGGGUAACCUGCCCAUCAGAGGGGGAUAACAUUCGGAAACGGAUGCUAAAACCGCAUAGGUCUUCGAACCGCAUGGUUUGAAGAGGAAAAGAGGCGCAAGCUUCUGCUGAUGGAUGGACCCGCGGUGCAUUAGCUAGUUGGUGAGGUAACGGCUCACCAAGGCAGUGAUGCAUAGCCGACCUGAGAGGGUGAUCGGCCACAUUGGGACUGAGACACGGCCCAAACUCCUACGGGAGGCAGCAGUAGGGAAUCUUCCGCAAUGGACGCAAGUCUGACGGAGCAACGCCGCGUGAGUGAAGAAGGUUUUCGGAUCGUAAAACUCUGUUGUUAGAGAAGAACAAGUGCUAGAGUAACUGUUAGCGCCUUGACGGUAUCUAACCAGAAAGCCACGGCUAACUACGUGCCAGCAGCCGCGGUAAUACGUAGGUGGCAAGCGUUGUCCGGAUUUAUUGGGCGUAAAGCGAGCGCAGGCGGUUCCUUAAGUCUGAUGUGAAAGCCCCCGGCUCAACCGGGGAGGGUCAUUGGAAACUGGGGAACUUGAGUGCAGAAGAGGAGAGUGGAAUUCCAUGUGUAGCGGUGAAAUGCGUGGAUAUAUGGAGGAACACCAGUGGCGUAGGCGACUCUCUGGUCUGUAACUGACGCUGAGGCUCGAAAGCGUGGGUAGCAAACAGGAUUAGAUACCCUGGUAGUCCGCGCCGUAAACGAUGAGUGCUAAGUGUUGGAGGGUUUCCGCCCUUCAGUGCUGCAG
rnacentral:rRNA from 1 species